UACGUAGGGAGCGAGCGUUGUCCGGAUUCAUUGGGCGUAAAGAGCUCGUAGGCGGCUUGGUAAGUCGGGAUGUGAAACCUCCAGGCUCAACCUGGAGUCGCCAUCCGAUACUGCCAUGGCUAGAGUCCGGUAGGGGCCCACGGAAUUCCUGGUGUAGCGGUGAAAUGCGCAGGAUAAUCAGGAGGAACACCGAUGGCGAAGGCAGUG
rnacentral:rRNA from 1 species